rnacentral:rRNA from 1 species
UACGUAGGGUGCAAGCGUUGUCCGGAAUUAUUGGGCGUAAAGAGCUCGUAGGCGGUCUGUCGCGUCGGCUGUGAAAUCCCGAGGCUCAACCUCGGGUCUGCAGUCGAUACGGGCAAACUAGAGUAUUGCAGGGGAGACUGGAAUUCCUGGUGUAGCGGUGAAAUGCGCAGAUAUCAGGAAGAACACCCGUGGCGAAGGCGGCUUUCUGGGACGGUACUGACGCUGAGACGCGAAAGCGUGGGGAGCGAACAGG